rnacentral:rRNA from 1 species
GAUGAACGCUGGCGGCGUGCCUAAUACAUGCAAGUCGAGCGAACAGACGAGGAGCUUGCUCCUCUGACGUUAGCGGCGGACGGGUGAGUAACACGUGGAUAACCUACCUAUAAGACUGGGAUAACUUCGGGAAACCGGAGCUAAUACCGGAUAAUAUAUUGAACCGCAUGGUUCAAUAGUGAAAGACGGUUUUGCUGUCACUUAUAGAUGGAUCCGCGCCGCAUUAGCUAGUUGGUAAGGUAACGGCUUACCAAGGCAACGAUGCGUAGCCGACCUGAGAGGGUGAUCGGCCACACUGAACUGAGACACGGUCCAGACUCCUACGGGAGGCAGCAGUAGGGAAUCUUCCGCAAUGGGCGAAAGCUUGACGGAGCAACGCCGCGUGAGUGAUGAAGGUCUUCGGAUCGUAAAACUCUGUUAUUAGGGAAGAACAAAUGUGUAAGUAACUAUGCACGUCUUGACGGUACCUAAUCAGAAAGCCACGGCUAAUUACGUG